rnacentral:tRNA from 1 species
AGAGUACCUGGCUACGAACCAGGCGGUCGGGGGUUCGAAUCCCUCCCAGCGCGCCA